GAUGAACGCUAGCGGCAGGCCUAAUAAAUGCAAGUCGAACGAGAUUAAGAGGCUUGCUUCUUAUGAAAGUGGCGCACGGGUGCGUAACGCGUAUGCAACCUACCUUAAUCAGGGGGAUAGCCCGAAGAAAUUCGGAUUAAGACCGCAUAAAAACACAGGAUAGCAUUAUCCAAUGUUCAAAUAUUUAUAGGAUUAAGAUGGGCAUGCGUGUCAUUAGCUAGUUGGCGGGGUAACGGCCCACCAAGGCGACGAUGACUAGGGGAUCUGAGAGGAGGGACCCCCACACUGGUACUUAGACACGGAUCAGGCUACUACGGUAGGCAGCAGUAAGUAAUAUUGGUCUGUGGAGGAAACUCUGAUCCAGCCUGGCCGCGUCCCGGAAGUCUGUCCUCUGGGUCGUAAACUUCGUUUGUUCGUGUAUAAUUCGUUCUUCGUAUAGGAAGGUGUAUGUACCGGAGUAAUAAGGCUCGGCUAGCUCCGUG
rnacentral:rRNA from 1 species